rnacentral:rRNA from 1 species
AGUGAACGCUGGCGGUAGGCCUAACACAUGCAAGUCGAACGGCAGCACAGUAAGAGCUUGCUCUUACGGGUGGCGAGUGGCGGACGGGUGAGGAAUACAGCGGAAUCUACUUUUUCGUGGGGGAGAACGUAGGGAAACUUACGCGAAUACCGCAUACGACCUACGGGUGAAAGCAGGGGAUCUUCGGACCUUGCGCGAUUGAAUGAGCCGAUGUCGGAUUAGCUAGUUGGCGGGGUAAAGGCCCACCAAGGCGACGAUCCGUAGCUGGUCUGAGAGGAUGAUCAGCCACACUGGAACUGAGACACGGUCCAGACUCCUACGGGAGGCAGCAGUGGGGAAUAUUGGACAAUGGGCGCAAGCCUGAUCCAGCCAUACCGCGUGGGUGAAGAAGGCCUUCGGGUUGUAAAGCCCUUUUGUUGGGAAAGAAAAGCAGCAGGUUAAUACCCCGCUGUUCUGACGGUACCCAAAGAAUAAGCACCGGCUAACUUCGUG